rnacentral:rRNA from 1 species
UGGGGAAUAUUGGACAAUGGGCGAAAGCCUGAUCCAGCGACGCCGCGUGGGUGAAGAAGGCCUGCGGGUUGUAAACCUCUUUCAGCAUCGACGAAGCCUUUUUGGGUGACGGUAGGUGCAGAAGAAGCGCCGGCUAACUACGUGCCAGCAGCCGCGGUAAUACGUAGGGCGCGAGCGUUGUCCGGAAUUAUUGGGCGUAAAGAGCUCGUAGGCGGCCGGUCGCGUCUGCCGUGAAAGCCCACGGCUCAACCGUGGGACUGCGGUGGAUACGGGCCGGCUAGAGGCAGGCAGGGGCAAGUGGAAUUCCUGGUGUAGCGGUGAAAUGCGCAGAUAUCAGGAGGAACACCGGUGGCGAAGGCGGCUUGCUGGGCCUGUCCUGACGCUGAGGAGCGAAAGCGUGGGGAGCGAACAGGAUUAGAUACC